rnacentral:lncRNA from 1 species
CACAAAUGCACGCUUCACCAAUUUCAUUUUCUUUUCCAGUAUAUUGAACCUCGAAAUAGGUAUAGUUCUUUCUUUCUAUUGACCUUCUUUUUUGCUUCAUUACUUCUCUUUUGUGUGUAGGGUUUAUCGAUUUUGCAAAUGAGGCAGAUGAGAGGGCCAAGGAAGCGGAUAUUCGGGUCCACGAAUUGGAGGAGCAGAAUAAGUUGCCUGAGGAUUCUCAUCUCUACGAGUACCGAUGCGAGAAACAGAUGGCAAAUUAAUUUCUUCACCAAAUUUUCUUAAUCUUUUUAACACUUAUGUUGUUCACCUCUUAUUGAUUGUAUGAUUAAUUGUGAAAUUACCUCUGUGGGAUUUGGAAAUUUAUUAAAAGCCAUAGGUUUUGUAGGGCUAACUAACCAAAUAAGUGAUUUUGGGUAAAGGGAAAAUAUGAAGAAAGCAAAUUGAUCUUACUGAGCCGUGUAUUAUAUAAUUCCCUUGUUUUUUUUUUCCUUGAGAGACUUGUUAAUUUAGAAAAAUGGAAACUUGGAUGAUGGUAAUACAUCCUGAAAAUCAAAGUUCUUUUCAAUGAUAGAAUAGUGUCACCCACUCAACUUUGGGCUGCAUGAGUUUCUAGGACAUUUUUGGAUAAAGUAUGAACUAAGUGGGCAUGAAAAUGGAAAAUGAAUAUUAGUAAUACUGGAAGGAGAUGAAGAUGAAAAUGGAAAAUGAAUAUUAGUAAUACUGUCUGAACUUUAUGAUCCUCUUCUCUAACAUCAAUCUUUACUGCUGAGGAAUUCUGUUAUUGCUGCCGGCCUAUUCUGAAUAUGUGACUUCUUUCUGUUUUAAAUUUGCUACUUUUAUGUCGUAACUUUGAACUUUGCUUCAGAAUCUUCUCUUCCAGUUAUAUUUUGCGGUUUAUGACUUUCUAGAUUGAUUAACAUAGAAAAUAGAUAAACUAUACAGUUAACAACUGGUUGAGGAUGUAAACGCUUGACAAUGGGAGAAUGUAGUUUCAAAAUCAAAGAAAAUCCUUUGGUAACAAUUUAUAUCUCAUUUGGCCUAAUAGAAGUUUCGUUUGUAGCCAUUUGAAAUCAUAAAUUACUUUGUAUUACAAGUAACGUUUCUUUAAUUUUUCUGUCAUUUUUUAAGUUUCAAGAUUCAUGUAAUGAAUUUUCUGUUUUCAUUGGAACAUGAGGGGAAAUUGUGAUUAAUUCAGAGUUAUGACAUGCGUGUGCAGGCCCAUUCGUUUGUUUACCUCCUGUGGGAAGUCUUGUGGUCUAUUUUCCUCAAGGUCAUAGUGAACAAGUACGUCCUUUCUCUCCUUUCUCUCUAUUUCGAGAAAUAUUGUAAAUUUUCACACGAUAUCUGAUAUGUACUUGUAUAUAUUCUAUUUGUAGGUGGCAGCAUUGAUUCAAAAGGAGGCUGAGAGCAUCCCAAGUUAUCCAAACCUUCCGUCGAAGUUGAUCUCCAUGCUCCAUAAUGUCAAUUUACAUGUAUGAACACUUCCAUAGUGCAACGGAAACUUUUAAACAUUUUUUUCUCCGUGUCGAAAUUUAUUUUCUUCUUGGGUUUUAUACUAGAUAAGUACUUGAUGAUCGUCAAUUUGAUCUACUAUGCAAUAAAUCAAUAUCAAUAAUGAUGUUCAAUUUGAUCUAUCUAUGCAGUAAGUCAACAUCAGCGAUAUUUAUCUUCAAUGGCUUUAGUUGUUAUUUGACUGGAUCAAUCUUAUGUUUCUUUAUCCUCUCCUCAGUAAGUUUUUUCCCCUGCCUUCCUUUUCAUGGUACUUCAAUUUGUGAUUUUUGGCUCUUUAAGAGAGAAUAUGGAUGGGAUCAUUUUACUGUAUUUCAAGAUUUUUAUGGUGAUGAGUUUCUGGUUCAUGCCCCAAUGUUCUCUCUUUUCACAUGUGAAAAAGGAUCUUGUUUUCUUGCUGUCGUUUUUGCUGUCUCACAUCUGCUUGCAGAGUCAACCACUUGAUGGUGGCUGUAUAUGUAGUUGUACAGGCAGCUGUUCCAUCUUUAAUGUUUGUGUUGUUUCCCAUUUCAGCAUCUUGUCAGUUAUUGCUUUGACAUGUAUGAUUCACAAUUUAUGUUUAAUGUGUGUGCACAUUAUAUUGUAUUUUCACAUGCCUAACAAAUGGGGGGGGAAAAAAAAGUGCUAGCAGAUUUUGACAAUACUGUGAGUUAAUUUGUUGUACUUUAUAGUUAGGAGUUGUUUCAAAAAGUUCUCCAUAAAAAGGUUUGUGGAUUUAGAUAAAAGAUGGUGAAAUGUGUCACAUGUGGUUGAAAAGUUGAUAAAAGUUGUGUGUUCCAUGAUAUUAUGGUUAAAAUCAAUUUUUUAGCAACAUUUUUUGCUUUCCUGAACAAGCACUUUGUAGAUAAGCAUUUACUAUCCCCUUACGUAUUAGACUGCAAAUAAUUCUCUUUCUUUCCUUUUCUUUUGUCCCGUCUGUAUUUGUUCCUUUUGGCAUAAUUAUUUUCGUUCAAUCAGUGCAAGCAAUAUGAGAAGGACCUAAUGGACAUGAUCGAUAGAGAAGUGGAUGGAAGUGAUAGUCUUGAGGGGAUUUGUUCUGUGCCAUUCAAUUGCUAGUGGUACAAGCUAAGGUUUCCAAAUCCUAUCACAUUGUGCAAAUUUUCUAUGUAAAUUCCAAAAUAUGAAUGUCUUGAUUCAUAUUUGAUUUUCAUAAGAAUAUGAAACUGGUUUUGUACUGUUCACGGAAGGACAGGUCAACUGCACUGUAGAGGCCCAAUUUAUUCUCUCUGCUUUCACUGUAUAUACUCAAUGUAUCUAUCUCUUCCUUUUCAUUUCUUCCCCCAUUUAGCCAUCCUUGUUGACUAUAUAAUAGUUAUUUGCUUUCCAUGUAGCCACCAUUCUUUCUAGCUACAGUGGUUCUGCAUUGUUCAUUAAAUGAUCGCCCUAACAAAGCGUCAUUUCUUCCAUCUCUAAACCCUCUUUUUUCUUUCCCGAAUUUCAAUCCCCAUUCCCAACACACUUUAAUUCCUCCUACAACGCUAAAAACCCUUCAAUUAAUUUCAUCUCUCCAGGAAUGAGCUGGCUGUACAAGCUUAGAUUUGGUGUUCUUAACUCCACCGACUCCAUGUGGAUUCCUCUUUCGAUUCUUCCAUAGCGCAUGGGACUAGACGAUCAUGUACUCGCUCUGAGCCAUCAGUUCGUGCAAUUCGAAGGAGGUAGAGAAUAUAGUAUUGGCUUCCUCCAUUGCAAUUUAUUGUUGAGUUUUUUUAAAACAGUAUUUAAUCGUAUCCCCAAGAAAAAUUUAUGAAUUUCAGUUCAGAAAUUUGAGAAAAAAUGUGAAGUUUAGGUUUGCUUUCAUCUUAAAUGUCUUAAAAGUUUGUUCUUAUUGGCAAAAAGUUUUAAAUUUCUGCAUUUAUUUAAUUAAGCUUGCUCAUUUUUAUCACCGGCAAAACUAAGAUUUCAGAUUUUGGGUGUGGUGUGGGGCUGAGCAACAUAGGGAAGCAGCAAUGCACAAAGGUCACUCAGAUUAAAAGGCUAAUUGCUAGAAACUGGUGAAUAUAAGCACAAGGAAGAUUUGGAAAUGCUUAUAAAUUUAGAGCUGGGGAAGUUAAAUUAUGUUGAGAACGAGUUCCGGAAUUAUGAAUAUAUUGUAAGAAAAAAUAAUAAAUGAGAUUGUAUAUAAAAUAAAAAGUGGAGCAAUUUGAUUGAAUUAUGCCACUAUGAGUUUUAAUUUUUGAUUUCUUUUAUUUUUUGAUUGUCAAAUUUGUCGACGAAUAAAUGAAACAUAGGAUUGAGUUGAGUAUGACGUGGAGAAAUGUGACUAGAGAGCUUGAAACAUUGACCUCUUGAAAAUUAACUUUUGAGAACGUGAAAACUUCCAACUAGAAAGUAGAAACUGCAUGAUCGGCUGAAUAAUUUGUAAAAAGAAGUGACAAACUGUAAUUUCUCUAUUUUGUGAUUUAUGUUUUCGUGAACAUUAUUGUAGCUAGAUGUUCCUUUAGUUUAUCAUUCACAUAUUGAAAUGAGAUAUUGCACAUGCUAGAAGAAAUAUGUAAUCCUCCUUCUGGUUCUUGGCAAAAUUUGAAGGUGAGUAGAAUUUUCUGAGUACGAACUUUGUUGUUGUUGUUUUUUUUUCUGGCAAUUAUAUUUAUCUUGUGAAAAACUGUUUCAGGAUUACAUGUGAAAAUCUAGGGAUGUUUUUUUUCUCAAGUUUCUUGUGAUGAUGAUGGUAAGUUAUUUUACUCAAUACAAUUUUUUUUACUAUAGAGAUGCUAAUGGCUCCGUGCAACCUUGUUAAUGGGGUUUAUAAACAUUUGUUACUAUAUUCAGGAACCUUUGGCAUAGUUAACUAUAGUAAUUGCUAAAACAUUAAUUAUGUUGUAAGUCACAGUUGUAUUCAUCUUCAAAAUGUUUGAGCUUCUGUGCAUCCAUGAAUUUUUCUAGUCAAUUUGGUAAUUUGUUGUCCUCUUGCUCAGAUCCGGAAAUUUGAUGAUCACGAUUUGAAGAAUCUUUCGACCAGAAUAAUAUCCGGGUAUUCUUUUAUAUUUUUUCUCUUCUUUGUCUGUUUUUCUUCUCUUUUAAGGGAUUAAAUUUUCAAAGAAUGUCGUUUCUUCUUUAUCAAAAAAAAAAAAAAAACCCAAAGCAAGCACUUGGAAUUCAGUUUCUAUUUCUAAUAUAGUGUUAGAAAUUACAUUUGUGCCUUUGUAACCUAUACAAUGCUCAAAUCUUGAACUUCUUACUUCUUAGAGGGAUUUAACUCUUACAGUAUCGUAAUUUUUACUACUAAAAUCUAAGAAUUCGUACAAUAAUAUCUUUACGAAAGUAACUAUCUUAUGAAAUAAUAAACUUUUUUCUUUGUAAAUCAAUAAAUUCAGGUAAAGGAAUACAAGC